rnacentral:rRNA from 1 species
GGGAAUCUGCCCUCAGGUUCGGAAUAACAGCGAGAAAUUGCUGCUAAUACCGGAUGAUAUCGCGAGAUCAAAGAUUUAUCGCCUGAGGAUGAGCCCGCGUAGGAUUAGCUAGUUGGUGUGGUAAAGGCGCACCAAGGCGACGAUCCUUAGCUGGUCUGAGAGGAUGAUCAGCCACACUGGGACUGAGACACGGCCCAGACUCCUACGGGAGGCAGCAGUGGGGAAUAUUGGACAAUGGGCGGAAGCCUGAUCCAGCAAUGCCGCGUGAGUGAUGAAGGCCUUAGGGUUGUAAAGCUCUUUUACCCGGGAUGAUAAUGACAGUACCGGGAGAAUAAGCUCCGGCUAACUCCGUGCCAGCAGCCGCGGUAAUACGGAGGGAGCUAGCGUUAUUCGGAAUUACUGGGCGUAAAGCGCACGUAGGCGGCUUUGUAAGUUAGAGGUGAAAGCCUGGAGCUCAACUCCAGAAUUGCCUUUAAGACUGCAUCGCUUG